rnacentral:lncRNA from 1 species
AGGAUAACGCGGUGUGACAGGGCAGGGCAUGUGUGAUCCUUGUUUCUUGUUAUUUAGACUCGAGUUUCCACCUCCCACCUGCAAGGCCCAAGACUGAUGUCAGCGCUGACGUACCAGAUGGCCCAGGUUGCUGUGGCCACGCCUCCUGUGGUGUCUGUCCUGGCAGUUGUGGUGCUGUCAGCCAGGGUCACAGUGCUUCCAUCAACGCAACGGGAUCAGUGUUGUGAUAAGGCAGCUGCAAAAAGCGGCAGUUGCAAAAGAUGGUGAAGAACUCAAGCUGAAGAGGUGUCUGCUGAAUUUUGUUGCUUCGGUAGGAGCUUUUCACCAUCAGUUUUUAGAAAGUACGCAUGACUCUCCUUCUGUUGAUAUCUCUCUUGAUUUGGCAAAGAGUACAAGGAGGACCGCAAAGGGUUGCCAUAUAAUCAUCACAAAUAGAUCCAGGGAUACCAUAUCAGGUCCUG